ensembl:misc_RNA Metazoa_SRP Metazoan signal recognition particle RNA
GCCGGGCGUGGUGGCGGGCGCCUGUAAUCCCAGCUACUAGGGAGGCUGAGGCAGGAGAAUCGCUUGAACCUGGGAGGUGGAGGUUGCAGUGAGCCGAGAUCGCGCACUGCACUCCAGCCUGGGUAACAGAGCCAGACCCUGUCUCAA